UGAGGUCAGGGGGAGGAUGGGGAGCCCGGAUGCUGUUUUGCAUAUGACUGGUGAGAGAAGCCUACAGACACCCAGGUGGAGAUGUUACAGACAGACUGGAAACAUGAAAUGGCAUUAAGGGGGAAGUCUCAGCUGGAGGAAUUUCAAAAGCUUGACAAAAAUUAUCUGAGAGGAAAAUGUGUGUUCCCAGAUUGGAAGCAGCGAAAAAAAGGCACAGCAUCACCACAUCAUUUUAGCAUCCAUUGGUGCCGUUGAAGGGCAAGAGAAUGAACUUUGAUGAGAAAGAAGUAGUUAUCCUGGUUAAUAACUGACUUGGAGCACUAGAACCCUUUGCUGCUGAGAAGUGGUCCCAGUUCCAGGGCUGGGUAUUUGAAAUCCUGAGCUGGACUCUGACAUCUUGGUCAUCCACCCUCCAUGGCCAUGCCUGUCUCCCAGGGCUGUCCGUCAGGGCUCCCUGAAGUCCUCUUCUCCAGGAACACAGACCCAUACCUGCUCCCUAUCACUGACAUGACAUGGUGUCUGGGACCCUCACUGCCUCUGUCACUCAUCUAGGAAGCGGCUGAUUGAAGCCUCUCCUCAGGAGUGUCUCCUGGAAGAGAGAAUAUGGAGACUGUGCAGCUCAGGGCGUCACCCUCCAGACUGAAUUGCUCUGGCCUCCACACAUCCAGGACACAUCUCCCAUGGGGACUGUGGUGGUGACUUGUAUGUGUCAACUUGCCCAGGCCAUCGAGUGCCCAGACAUUUGGUCUAUGAUUAGGUUGGGUGUUUUAGAUAUGAUUGACCUUGACACUGGUGGACUGCAGGCAGCAGAUUCCCUCCCUUAUGUGAAUGGAGGCCUGAAUGGAACAAAAUGGUGGAUUCUGUCCAGAGCAAGAGAAUUCUUCCUGCCUGAUGGCCUUCAAACAGAAAGGUCAGCUUCUUCCUGCCUUCAGACUUGAACGGAAACAUCAGCUCUUCCUGACUCUCAAGCCUGCUGACCUUCAGAUUGGAGCUUACAUUACUGGCUUCUCUGGGUCUUCACACUGCCCUGACCCUGCAGAGCUCAGAACUUCUCCGCCACCAUAAUCAUGUACUGGGAGAUCCGUAAAUAAGACGACAGAACACCCUGG
rnacentral:lncRNA from 1 species